rnacentral:rRNA from 1 species
CACUAUGCUUAGCCCUAAACUUAGAUAGUUGCCCUAAACAAAACUAUCCGCCAGAGAACUACUAGCAACAGCUUAAAACUCAAAGGACUUGGCGGUGCUUUACAUCCCUCUAGAGGAGCCUGUUCUAUAAUCGAUAAACCCCGAUAUACCUCACCAUCUCUUGCUAAUUCAGCCUAUAUACCGCCAUCUUCAGCAAACCCUAAAAAGGAAGAAAAGUAAGCACAAGUAUCUUAACACAAAAAAGUUAGGUCAAGGUGUAGCUCAUGAGAUGGGAAGUAAUGGGCUACAUUUUCUAAAAUUAGAACACCCACGAAAAUCCUUAUGAAACUAAGUAUUAAAGGAGGAUUUAGUAGUAAAUUUGAGAAUAGAGAGCUCAAUUGAAUCGGGCCAUGAAGCACGC